rnacentral:rRNA from 1 species
UACGUAGGGUGCAAGCGUUAAUCGGAAUUACUGGGCGUAAAGCGCACGUAGGCGGAUACUUAAGUCAGGGGUGAAAUCCCGGGGCUCAACCCCGGAACUGCCUUUGAUACUGGGUAUCUCGAGUCCGGAAGAGGUGAGUGGAAUUCCGAGUGUAGAGGUGAAAUUCGUAGAUAUUCGGAGGAACACCAGUGGCGAAGGCGGCUCACUGGUCCGGUACUGACGCUGAGGUGCGAAAGCGUGGGGAGCAAACAGG